GGUGAGGUGUCCGAGAGGUCUAAGGAGGUAGAUUUAGGCUCUACUCACUUCGGUGGCGUGGGUUCGAAUCCCACCCUCAUCA
rfam:Lichtheimia corymbifera JMRC:FST:9682, FST 9682, WGS project CBTN01000000 data, contig: SCAF00065